UAUAUCAGACCGUUUCAAAUA
rnacentral:piRNA from 1 species